AACGUAGGAGACAAACGUUAUCCGGAGUUACUGGGCGUAAAGGGCGUGUAGGUGGUAUCGUAAGUCUGGCGUGAAAUUUCUCGGCUUAACCGAGGCAGGUCGUCGGAUACUGCGAGGCUAGAGGACGGUAGAGGCGUGUGGAAUUCCGGGUGUAGUGGUGAAAUGCGUAGAGAUCCGGAGGAACACCAGUGGCGAAGGCGACACGCUGGGCCGUACCUGACACUGAGGCACGAAAGCGUGGGGAGCAAACAGG
rnacentral:rRNA from 1 species